GACGAACGCUGGCGGCGUGCUUAACACAUGCAAGUCGAACGGAAAGGCCCUGCUUUUGUGGGGUGCUCGAGUGGCGAACGGGUGUGUAACACGUGAGUAACAUGCCCUUGACUUUGGGAUAACUUCAGGAAACUGGGGCUAAUACCGGAUAGGAGCUCCUGCUGCAUGGUGGGGGUUGGAAAGUUUCGGCGGUUGGGGAUGGACUCGCGGCUUAUGAGCUUGUUGGUGGGGUAGUGGCUGACCAAGGCUGUGACGGGUAGCCGGCCUGAGAGGGUGGCCGGCCCCGUUGCGACUGAAAUACGACCCAGACUCCUACGGGAGGCAGCAGUGCGGAAUAUUGCACAACGGGCGGAAGCCUGAUGCAGCACCGCCGCGUGCCGGAUGUCGGCCUUCGGGUUGUAAACCACUUUCGCCUGUGACGAAGCGUGAGUGACGGUAAUGGGUAAAGAAGCACCGGCUAACUACGUG
rnacentral:rRNA from 1 species